rnacentral:rRNA from 1 species
UGGGGAAUUUUGCACAAUGGGGGAAACCCUGAUGCAGCGACGCCGCGUGAUUUAGAAGGCCUUCUGGUUGUAAAAAUCUUUUCUAUGGGAAGAAAAUGACAGUACCAUAGGAAUAAGGACCGGCUAAUUACGUGCCAGCAGCCGCGGUAAUACGUAAGGUCCGAGCGUUGUCCGGAAUCAUUGGGCGUAAAGGGUACGUAGGCGGGUAAGCAAGUUAGAAGUGAAAUCCUAUAGCUCAACUAUAGUAAGCUUUUAAAACUGCUCAUCUUGAGGUAUGGAAGGGAAAGUGGAAUUCCUAGUGUAGCGGAGAAAUGCGCAGAUAUUAGGAGGAAUACCGGUGGCGAAGGCGACUUUCUGGCCAUAACCUGACGCUGAGGUACGAAAGCGUGGGUAGCAAACAGG